rnacentral:rRNA from 1 species
GGGUUGUGAGGUUAAGCGACUAAGCGUACACGGUGGAUGCCCUGGCAGUCAGAGGCGAUGAAGGACGUGCUAAUCUGCGAAAAGCGCCGGCGAGGUGAUAUGAACCCUUGACCCGGCGAUGUCCGAAUGGGGAAACCCAGUGUGAUUCGUCACACUAUCGUUAGCUGAAUACAUAGGUUAACGAGGCGAACCGGGGGAACUGAAACAUCUAAGUACCCCGAGGAAAAGAAAUCAACCGAGAUUCCCCAGUAGCGGCGAGCGAACGGGGAGCAGCCCGGAGUCUGAAUCAGCUUGUGUGUUAGUGGAAGCGUCUGGAAAGUCGCAGGGUACAGGGUGAUACUCCCGUACACGAAAGCACACAUGCUGUGAACUCGAAGAGUAGGGCGGGACACGUGGUAUCCUGUCUGAAUAUGGGGGGACCAUCCUCCAAGGCUAAAUACUCCUGACUGACCGAUAGUGAACCAGUACCGUGAGGGAAAGGCGAAAAGAACCCCGGCGAGGGAGUGAAAAAGAACCUGAAACCGUGUACGUACAAGCAGUGGGAGCACCUUCGGUGUGACUGCGUACCUUUUGUAUAAUGGGUCAGCGACUUAUAUUCUGUAGCAAGGUUAACCGUAUAGGGGAGCCGAAGGGAAACCGAGUCUUAACUGGGCGUUAAGUUGCAGGGUAUAGACCCGAAACCCGGUGAUCUAGCCAUGGGCAGGUUGAAGGUUGGGUAACACUAACUGGAGGACCGAACCGACUAAUGUUGAAAAAUUAGCGGAUGACCUGUGGCUGGGGUGAAAGGCCAAUCAAACCGGGAGAUAGCUGGUUCUCCCCGAAAGCUAUUUAGGUAGCGCCUCGUGAAUUCAUCUCCGGGGUAGAGCACUGUUUCGGCUAGGGGGCCAUCCCGGCUUACCAACCCGAUGCAAACUGCGAAUACCGGAGAAUGUUAUCACGGGAGACACACGGCGGGUGCUAACGUCCGUCGUGAAGAGGGAAACAACCCAGACCGCCAGCUAAGGUCCCAAAGUCAUGGUUAAGUGGGAAACGAUGUGGGAAGGCACAGACAGCCAGGAUGUUGGCUUAGAAGCAGCCAUCAUUUAAAGAAAGCGUAAUAGCUCACUGGUCGAGUCGGCCUGCGCGGAAGAUGUAACGGGGCUAAACCAUGCACCGAAGCUGCGGCAGCGACACUAUGUGUUGUUGGGUAGGGGAGCGUUCUGUAAGCCUGCGAAGGUGUGCCGUGAGGCAUGCUGGAGGUAUCAGAAGUGCGAAUGCUGACAUAAGUAACGAUAAAGCGGGUGAAAAGCCCGCUCGCCGGAAGACCAAGGGUUCCUGUCCAACGUUAAUCGGGGCAGGGUGAGUCGACCCCUAAGGCGAGGCCGAAAGGCGUAGUCGAUGGGAAACAGGUUAAUAUUCCUGUACUCGGUGUUACUGCGAAGGGGGGACGGAGAAGGCUAUGUUGGCCGGGCGACGGUUGUCCCGGUUUAAGCAUGUAGGCGGAGGUUCCAGGUAAAUCCGGUACCUUUUUAACGCUGAGGUGUGAUGACGAGGCACUACGGUGCUGAAGCAACAAAUGCCCUGCUUCCAGGAAAAGCCUCUAAGCAUCAGGUAACAUCAAAUCGUACCCCAAACCGACACAGGUGGUCAGGUAGAGAAUACCAAGGCGCUUGAGAGAACUCGGGUGAAGGAACUAGGCAAAAUGGUGCCGUAACUUCGGGAGAAGGCACGCUGAUAUGUAGGUGAAGCCCCUGCGGGUGGAGCUGAAAUCAGUCGAAGAUACCAGCUGGCUGCAACUGUUUAUUAAAAACACAGCACUGUGCAAACACGAAAGUGGACGUAUACGGUGUGACGCCUGCCCGGUGCCGGAAGGUUAAUUGAUGGGGUUAGCGGUAACGCGAAGCUCUUGAUCGAAGCCCCGGUAAACGGCGGCCGUAACUAUAACGGUCCUAAGGUAGCGAAAUUCCUUGUCGGGUAAGUUCCGACCUGCACGAAUGGCGUAAUGAUGGCCAGGCUGUCUCCACCCGAGACUCAGUGAAAUUGAAAUCGCUGUGAAGAUGCAGUGUACCCGCGGCAAGACGGAAAGACCCCGUGAACCUUUACUAUAGCUUGACACUGAACACUGGUCCUUGAUGUGUAGGAUAGGUGGGAGGCUUUGAAGUGUGGACGCCAGUCUGCAUGGAGCCGUCCUUGAAAUACCACCCUUUAAUGGCUGGUGUUCUAACGUGGACCCGUAAUCCGGGUUGCGGACAGUGUCUGGUGGGUAGUUUGACUGGGGCGGUCUCCUCCUAAAGAGUAACGGAGGAGCACGAAGGUCAGCUAAUCCUGGUCGGACAUCAGGAGGUUAGUGCAAUGGCAUAAGCUGGCUUGACUGCGAGAGUGACGGCUCGAGCAGGUGCGAAAGCAGGUCAUAGUGAUCCGGUGGUUCUGAAUGGAAGGGCCAUCGCUCAACGGAUAAAAGGUACUCCGGGGAUAACAGGCUGAUACCGCCCAAGAGUUCAUAUCGACGGCGGUGUUUGGCACCUCGAUGUCGGCUCAUCACAUCCUGGGGCUGAAGUAGGUCCCAAGGGUAUGGCUGUUCGCCAUUUAAAGUGGUACGCGAGCUGGGUUUAGAACGUCGUGAGACAGUUCGGUCCCUAUCUGCCGUGGGCGCUGGAGAAUUGAGGGGAGCUGCUCCUAGUACGAGAGGACCGGAGUGGACGCAUCACUGGUGUUCGGGUUGUCAUGCCAAUGGCACUGCCCGGUAGCUAAAUGCGGAAGAGAUAAGUGCUGAAAGCAUCUAAGCACGAAACUUGCCCCGAGAUGAGUUCUCCCUGACUCCUUGAGAGUCCUGAAGGAACGUUGAAGACGACGACGUUGAUAGGCCGGGUGUGUAAGCGCAGCGAUGCGUUGAGCUAACCGGUACUAAUGAACCGUGAGGCUUAACCUUACAACGCCGAAGCUGUU